UACGUAGGGGGCAAGCGUUGUCCGGAAUCAUUGGGCGUAAAGAGCGUGUAGGCGGCCCGAUAAGUCCGCCGUGAAAGUCCAGGGCUCAACCCUGGGAUGCCGGUGGAAACUGUCGGGCUAGAGUCCGGAAGAGGAAAGUGGAAUUCCUGGUGUAGCGGUGAAAUGCGCAGAUAUCAGGAAGAACACCAAUGGCGAAAGCAGCUUUCUGGGACGGUACUGACGCUGAGACGCGAAAGCGUGGGGAGCGAACAGG
rnacentral:rRNA from 1 species